GCUAAGAUAGGUCUGUGGGAGAGUGGAGGUUGUGCAGCUCAAGAUGGCUUCCAUGUCUGCACCAUCAUCUGGCUGGACGUGCAUCGGAACAAAGGUGGAUUUGUGGGAGUUGAUCUUGAGACCGGUGGCCGCGUGGGAGUUGAAGGAAGUGACGAGUCAAUUGGGUGACAGAGCAGGCCGUUGCCGGAAGCGUGUUUGAUGAGUCGUUGCAACACAUCAGCCACCACAAUGAAAAGAUAUGGGAUCUGCUUGUCUGAGGCCGCGGCGACACGUGAUCCUGCGCCCCGGCACGCCGUUAAGCAUAACAGCCGUUCGGCCGCUGGUGAGAAUUUUCUCUAUCCAUCCACACACCAGCGAUCAUCAAAGCCCCUGCAACGAAGAAUGGCAUCCCGGCUGCACCAUUCAAUGGAAUCAAACGCUUUCUUCA
rnacentral:lncRNA from 1 species